AGAACGAACGCUGGCGGCGUGGAUAAGACAUGCAAGUCGAACGCUGACAUUUAGGUAGCAAUAUUUGAAUGUCGGAGUGGCGCAAGGGUGCGUAACACGUGGGUAAUUUGCCGUGAAGUUUGGGAUAACUUGCUGAAAGGCGAGCUAAUACCGGAUGUGAAUUGUUGAAGGCAUCUUCGAAAAUUCAAAGUUGGGGACCGCAAGGCCUGACGCUUUACGAUAAGCCCGCGGCCUAUCAGCUAGUUGGUGAGGUAACGGCUCACCAAGGCUAAGACGGGUAGCUGGUCUGAGAGGACGACCAGCCUCACUGGAACUGAGACACGGUCCAGACCACCGUACGGGUGGCAGCAGUUUCGAAUCAUUCACAAGUGGGC
rnacentral:rRNA from 1 species